rnacentral:rRNA from 1 species
CUACGGAGGGUGCAAGCGUUACUCGGAAUCACUGGGCGUAAAGCGCGCGCAGGCGGCUUGAUAAGUUGGAUGUGAAAGCCUACGGCUCAACCGUAGCACUGCAUCCAAAACUGUCAAGCUAGAGUCUGGGAGGGGAAGAUGGAAUUAGUUGUGUAGGGGUAAAAUCCGUAGAGAUAACUAGGAAUACCAAAAGCGAAGGCGAUCUUCUGGAACAGUACUGACGCUGAGGCGCGAAAGCGUGGGGAGCAAACAGGAUUAGAAACCCUAGUAGUCC